UACGUAGGGUGCGAGCGUUAAUCGGAAUUACUGGGCGUAACGCGUGCGUAGGCGGUUCCUCAAGUCCGUUGUGAAAGCCCCGGGCUCAACCUGGGAAUGGCAGUGGAAACUAGGGGACUGGAAUCUGGCAGAGGGGGGUGGAAUGCCGCGUGUAGCAGUGAAAUGCGUAGAGAUGCGGCGGAACACCGAUGGCGAAGGCAGCCCCCUGGGCUGAGAUUGACGCUCAGGCACGAAAGCGUGGGGAGCAAACAGG
rnacentral:rRNA from 1 species